UACGUAGGGGCAAGCGUUGUCCGGAUUUAUUUGGGCGUAAAGAGCGUGUAGGCGGCCGUACAGGUCAGCUGUGAAAACUCGAGGCUCAACCUCGAGACGUCGGUUGAAACCGUACGGCUAGAGUCCGGAAGAGGAGAGUGGAAUUCCCGGUGUAGCGGUGAAAUGCGCAGAUAUCGGGAAGAACACCCGUGGCGAAGGCGGCUCUCUGGGACGGUACUGACGCUGAGACGCGAAAGCGUGGGGAGCGAACAGG
rnacentral:rRNA from 1 species